GAGAGUGUGUAGUUUGGCCUUUGGCAGCCCUCAUGACUCAUGGUAAAUAGGACACAUCUGUAUAACACCUUCCUCUUCUGCCUUUGGGGCUCUUUUCUUCCAGCAUCCCCUGUGGUGCAGGGCAGAAGGCUGUUCAGCUGGAGCCCCAGGGAUUUAUCAGAUUUUCAGCCAAAGUUCAUACCUAAAGUCAGGGGCCAGGAAGCAAGACAGUUGAGUGGAUGGGAUCGCCUCACAGGAAGAAGAAAAAGCAAAAAACAGGGCAAGAGGUGGAUUUUCUUUUCUCUCUCGUGCCUUGUAAAGAGGAAGAAGCACUGGCUUUGCACAGUGGCCAGAUAGCAGUUAAGGACCAUGAGACUGACAGAGAAAAGUGAUGUGCAAGAAUUCUUCAGCUGAAGCUGUUUUCACAGGAAGGAGAAGGACCAGCUGGUGGAAAUCAUGUGCCAUUACAGAAAUAACUGAGCAGCAGGAUACCUUCAGUUGGCUAUAAAACAGGGAUGAACAGCAGGAGUGAUGUUGCUGAAGCAGUCCUUUGGGAUUUUCUGUGCAAAAUGCAGCUAGGAAAAAAAAUAUUCCAUGGCUGUUUUUCUGUUUUGAUCUUCUGAAUAUUUGUCUUUGUCUUCCUAGGACACUUAUUUCAUAAAAAAUGUCUGAUGAUCGUUCCUCAGGCAAAACAUUCUCAAGGUCGUAAUGAUGCUUCCACAUGUCACCUGAAAGCAUUUUUAUUUACUAUUUGGCAGUGUCAAAAUAAAUGGUUACUAUUAAGUAGCCUGUCACUGUCUUCAUAAAUGAACAGUUUCUUGUUUGAAUAAUGCAUUGAGAAUCUUGCUUAUUUUUUGCAC